rnacentral:rRNA from 1 species
UACGGGGGGGGUAAGCGUUGUUCGGAAUUACUGGGCGUAAAGGGCUCGUAGGCGGCCAACUAAGUCAGACGUGAAAUCCCUCAGCUUAACUGGGGAACUGCGUCUGAUACUGGAUGGCUUGGAUUCGGGAGAGGAAUGCGGAAUUCCAGGUGUAGCGGUGAAAUGCGUAGAUAUCUGGAGGAACACCGGUGGCGAAGGCAGCAUCCUGGACCAACAUUGACGCUGAGGAGCGAAAGCUAGGGGAGCAAACGGG